rnacentral:rRNA from 1 species
UACGUAGGUCCCGAGCGUUGUCCGGAUUUAUUGGGCGUAAAGCGAGCGCAGGUGGUUUAUUAAGUCUGGUGUAAAAGGCAGUGGCUCAACCAUUGUAUGCAUUGGAAACUGGUAGACUUGAGUGCAGGAGAGGAGUGUGGAAUUCCAUGUGUGGCGGUGAAAUGCGUAGAUAUAUGGAGGAACACCGGUGGCGAAAGCGGCUCUCUGGCCUGUAACUGACACUGAGGCUCGAAAGCGUGGGGAGCAAACAGG